ACAUCUUUAGCUGAAUUGGUAAAGCAUUUGCCUUCGAAGCAAUAGUUUAUUGGUUCGAGUCCAAUAAGAUGUC
rnacentral:tRNA from 2 species